rnacentral:lncRNA from 1 species
AAUCUUUCCAUUCCGGCAAGUGCACAAAGCUUAAAAUCUCCAAAGAUGGGAAAAGGGUGUGAGCACCCCCAGCACAUAGAAUUCAAGCCCAACAUUCUCCACUGCCUCAUCCCUUGAAUGUGAAGUUCUGCCGAGUUUGGGUAAUAGCCCCAUGGAGGGGUGGUAAGAAGCGCAUUUUCACAAAUCUUCUAACUUCAAGCUCACCUAUUUGAGAAAACAGAGGAUCUACAACCCAAGUCGAAAUCUUUAGACCUUGGUAGAACUGAUUGUAAGCUUUUUCAAAUUCUUGUUGCGCGCUGUAGCAUUUUAAGCACUUCUAGUCAACACUUUCUUCGUGAAUCAUCUAAACUGUACUCCCUUUCAUAGAUAGAACAUCUAUUCCCUGUUAUCAUUUAGUUAGCCCCAAUUGCAUUCUGCCAAACGUCCACGAACAUUCUCUACCCGAUAUGCAAAGUGUCCUCUCAGAUGAAUCAAGUUGCCCAACUCCUUAGCAUAGGUCCAUCACCUUUGGCCAUAAUCUAGUUGAUAAUGUCUGGAGGUUAGUAACGUACCCAUUUUUGAUGGCAUUUCUUGUAAGGAAUCCGCCACCGGUAGAUCAAAAUGACGUAGGGUAAUCAAGUUUCCCAUGUCCAUUGGCAACUUCUUAGAUUACACAAUCUUUAGUAUUACUGUGUAAGUUUAGAGGAGUGCCUAGCGAAUUCUGGUUAAUCUUUUAAUCAUGGCAUUGGAGAGGUCAGAUACCUCACAUGUUUUAAGUUUCCAACCUACUCGACAGUUCACUUACAGAGUAUAGCUUAGCCAAACUAAGCACGCGUAACAUUUUAAGGCUUGGCAACAUAUCAAGGGAACAUCGCUGCGGCAAGAAGCUUAGAAUGGAGAUCUCUUGAACAAACGCCAAAGAAGAAAAGUCCCACAGUUCUUGGCCCACGAAAGGUCUCGAACUUUUAACGCCAUCAUCAAUGGCCAUGCAGGUAGGGAUGAAAUGGCGAGCCUUUGAGAUAUUGUAUCGUUCAUUAUUUUUUAGAAUCCUCCAGCCUAAAACAAGUUGUUCUUGUCAACAUACUGAGCCAAAUCAUUGAUCAGGUAGAUGAUAACAAACAAUGAUCUGCACCGCGACUUGAGGUCGAAACAAUGACCUGGCUAAUAAUUCACGAAAGGAGUACUUCGACAUCCGAGAGCUUCCAUUUGCUUCUCUCUUCUGGCUGCUUGAAAUUGAACUUUUCUGCCAUCCACAACAAGACUAGUUUCAUGCUCCUCAAAAUUCGUAAGCUUUGCAGUAGUAAUGACAAUAGGCAAACACUUUUUCACAUGUGAAGGGAGGUGAUAGUAGCGAUUCUCAAAGCUGGAAAAUGUCCACUUUUCAUCAUUUGAUAACUUCCACAUUUUAGUAUCAAGACAUCUCCCAUUCAUCCAUUCUCGAUUUUAUUCCUUAGAAGGACACCGAGUGUCCUAGCCGCCAAAGGCAAGCCUCCAAUUUAGCCACAAAUUUUCCUACCAAUUGAAACCAAAUUUGGACAUUCAUACAUACAUAAUUCUUCAAAUGGCAGUGCGAAAACACGAAAACCAACAAUCAUCAUCUGAUAAUGCGUUCAAGUGAUGGUACUUAACAGUGUCCACAUACCGACAAACUUCUGUCACGUGUUGUUACUAUGGACUGUACUUCCUUGGGUCCGUCACUGAACGGACUCUUUAAUUUGCUUUCCAGUAACCAGGUUUUUGUUCCAGACAUCAUCUAAAACAAUUAGAACUUCUUCCAGUCAAACCCUCUUCGUUGUACUUGGACUUGAAUCCAAUUCUUUAAAAUCACAUGUCCGAGAAGCGACGACUCAAGAAUUGCGUUUUGUCACUAUCAUAUGUUCAAAAUUGUCAGAGACACAGACCCCAAGCUUGAUAUCAAAAUGCUCUCCACAGUUUCAUUCUUGUUACAGUCGGGGCAAGGGUGUCUUGCCAACCCCACCCAUAACCACAAUCGGAAAACUACAACCAAAUUUGGUAUUACUCAAUUGAUCAUUUUUUUAGGAGCAACUCCAUAAUUGCCUUUUUGUCCUCAUCCCUGCCAGUACGCAAGGUGCGUGUAUCAAAGAUGUAGUUUCUGUUCUUUGGUAACCUUUUAGCAGAUGCCACUUCAGUAACCUUCUGUAAGCAAGCCCCCUUCUUCGUUCAAAAGAUUUUGCAAUUCUAGGAGUGAUCUCGUCUAAAAACAAAACUUUGAUUUCAUCCUAAAAUCAAGAAAGAGAGUGCUUGGAGUAAACUGUACAACAAGUAGGUAGAGGGGGCACAACCUUGCUUGGUGCUAUCUUGAUUCCUCAGCUUUCGUCGCAAAGCUUCAUUGGUAAUCUCGUCGAGUACGUCAUCCAGAUCUAAGCCAAGUCCUCAAGAUCUUCCAGCCACAUAUGAAUACCCCUUUCUGUGAUUUUGCCUCCUCUUCUGCAUCUGCAAGACUGCCUCAAUUUCUCAAAAAUUUCUCUCCAUUUUUCAGUGCAGUAUGAAUCCCUCCCUG